GGAAGGUUGCCGGAGUGGUAACGGCGCAGUUUCGAAAACUGAGGGCGGGUAACACCGACAGAGGUUCGAUUCCUCUACCUUCCG
rnacentral:tRNA from 1 species